rnacentral:lncRNA from 1 species
AUGCCAGGUGUACUUGUAUGUGAAUAUGAAUUCACUAACUACUCUGCACAUAAAAUUGAAUACACUACUUCAUCUCCUAAACAUCAACAGGAUGAACAAUACGUCCUUCAUUUUCUCUCAAAAUCAAUAGGCAAUGGAUUGAUGAAGUCCAUGUGUUUGCUCUACAGCUGUUUAUUGCAUGUCAAACCUGUGGAAGGAAUUAUUUCACCUACAAUGCAACAAUUCACUUGUAUCUCACUGGUAUGGACGGUGGGCAACAGAUUGAAUUAAAGCCUUCUGUCCAUAUUUAGUUCAUUUAUUUUGGACAGAGAAAUGAGAGUUCAAUGUAGUAAUGUCUUCUGUUGACCAAUUAUAAUUUGAAGUCAUCAAACCAGGUACCCUUUAAGCAACGGUAUAAUAACACACCCCACUCUGUGCAGGUUUAGAUGAUGGAUGACUAGAAUCUGAAGUAACUGGACAGCUGUCUGAACAGACUAUUUCAUUAUACGUGAAGGGAUGCCAUUUCUAACUAUGAUGAUAAUUAGAGUAGAUGAAAUGCAUAAAUCAUUGUGGUUUUUUAUAGCUUUGGUUUGGGGGAACAAUUUUUAACCCUCCUUAUGGGCUCAAUGCUUUGGAUUAGGAUCCAAUGCAUAUUUCUAUAAUUGGAAGGAUUUGAUAUUCUUACUUCAAGUGCUUAUGUGAUAUGUUUUCUCGUAUCUGAAUUCAUACAGUAACACACAAUGCAGUAAGAAUGUCCUGUAGCGAUCAAGGGAUUGAAUAAAAAUGCCUGAUGAUAUCAUUAUUGGCAUUAUUUUUGCUCUUGUAAUUGCUAUUCUUUUGGUCGGGUUAUUUCUGUAGUUCAAAGUAAUUCCUUUCUUCUUUUCUAAUAUCUCACCUAUAAUGUUCCCUAUUUUAAUUAUCUAUUAUCUACCAAAAUUUUCUGAAACUUAAGAAAAUUAAAACUGCCAUUAAUUAUCUUUCAAUAGUCUAUGUUGUCUGGGAGCAGUUAGGCAGUUACUCAACUAAUCUUCACUGAGAUUUCUCAUGUUAUUGAAGGCACAUAGUAGAUGGGGCAGAUUUUAUCUGAAGCCUUGCCUGGAAUUCUGGGGAACCUGGGCCACAUUCUCUCUUCUUGUAGUCUGAAGCGUUCUCUUUCCGGAUUAUCUUUCCACGUGCCCUCCCCAUGUGGAAUCUUCGUAGUGAGACUUCUUACAUGACAUCUAAAACUAGAAGCUGACUGUGUUGUUAAAGGCUGGGCACAUACAAGCAUAGGUUGAAUUUGCCAUAUUCUCUUGGUUAACCCUAAUUCCAGGCCAGCCCAAAAUCCAUGAACAAAGGAAUUACAAAAAUACAAACAAACAAAAAAACACAUAAAUACUGGAAGGUUUAAUUCAUCUGGAGCCAUCUUUAAAAACCAAUAAUUUAAAAAUAA